AACAAUUAAUUAAAUGGCACACCCUAAUGACUACGCCUUUGCAAGGGAGGAACAUCCAAUCAUUAUACUUAACUAUCACAACACAGUUGGGAGGUGAUACAAAGUACAGGACUGAAACCAAGGCAGGAGUUUCAUUCUGCAAUUUACUUACCUUCAUUUGGCACGGUAAGUUCUUUCUCCUACUUCACUUGCAAACAUCACGCUCAGGUUCCUGAGGUGGCUAUAGCAUCUAGGACCGUCCGUGGAACUUUGAUCAACAGCCGGUCUGGUUUGGCGUCGCAACAAAGAAGGACAAAGUCAGUUGACAACGGAUACUUGGGACUGCCGAGAGGAUCAUUGGUACUCUUAAGGAUUGCCAGACGUUUGGGCUGACAAAAUUCUCUUGGACUCACUACAUCCCAGAAGGAACCUUUUCUAGCUCCUUUCCACUGUCAUAGUGACGUGGAGCGUCACGAAGAUCCUAUCUUGACAUCGUGGCAGCUCCAGAGUAGACGCUUAGGUUUAGUAAAAGCUUCUGUCUUCUUCGCAUCCGCCACCAAGCAGUCUGAGAGGGCCAGCGUAUAAAAGACACCAUCUCAUUUCAGACAUCAUAUGCCACAAUGAUCACUUUCAAAAUAUUCACCGUUCUCCUUCUCCUUGUCAGAAUCACCAGUCUGCCAACAAGGAGAAAAUGGUCAAGGAUGAUAGAGGAGAAUUUAGGACCAGAAGACGACCACAAGGAUAAUACAGUUUUUUUACCGGAGGCCAGCCAACAUAGUCUUAAUGUUCCCUCAGAAAGCUCACGCAAAUAUGACACCACAAAUAGAAGGAAUUCCCAUGACGUCGCAAAUGACAAACUGAACGCACAUGAAGAAAAUAUCCCUUGCCGGAAUACCGGUGACUCCAGCCAUGAAAACCAACCGUCUUGUCGACAUACCCGUGACUCCAAUCAU